rnacentral:misc_RNA from 1 species
UAUCCGUAGGUGAACCUGCGGAAGGAUCAUUAUUGUAUAACCGAGGCGCGAGGGCUGUCGCUGACCCGAAAGGUCGUGCACGCCCGAGUGCCCUCACACACAUCCAUCUCACCCCUAUGUGCACCACCGCGUGGGUCCCCCUUUGGCUUGUUCGGAGGGGGGCUUACGUUUUCACACAAACUUUGUAUGCAGUGUAGAAUGUAUUUUUUGUUUUUGCGAUCACGCAAUCAAUACAACUUUCAACAACGGAUCUCUUGGUUCUC